rnacentral:lncRNA from 1 species
AUGAGUUUACCCCUCAAUCUCAAAUAUUUCCUCAGUGGAUUAACAGGAGAGCCAGUGAUGGUGAAGCUUAAGUGGGAAUGGAGUAUAAGGGCUACCUGGUAUCUGUAGAUGGCUAUAUGAACAUGCAGCUUGCAGAUACAGAAUUCAUAAAUGAGGCAUUGCCUGGACAUCUAGGUGAAGUUUUAAUAAGGUGUAAUAAUGUCCUUUAUAUCAGAGAUGUGGAAGAAGAGGAAA